UCCCCGCGGGCUCGGCCAGAGCAGGCCGUGGGAGUUCUUCUUCCGGGGGUCAGCCAGGCGGGCCACCUGCCGCUGGGUCGCCUCCAGCGCGAGGCC
rnacentral:tRNA from 1 species